GGGACACGUGGUAUCCUGUCUGAAUAUGGGGGGACCAUCCUCCAAGGCUAAAUACUCCUGACUGACCGAUAGUGAACCAGUACCGUGAGGGAAAGGCGAAAAGAACCCCGGCGAGGGGAGUGAAAAAGAACCUGAAACCGUGUACGUACAAGCAGUGGGAGCACCUUCGGGUGUGACUGCGUACCUUUUGUAUAAUGGGUCAGCGACUUAUAUUCUGUAGCAAGGUUAACCGUAUAGGGGAGCCGCAGGGAAACCGAGUCUUAACUGGGCGUUAAGUUGCAGGGUAUAGACCCGAAACCCGGUGAUCUAGCCAUGGGCAGGUUGAAGGUUGGGUAACACUAACUGGAGGACCGAACCGACUAAUGUUGAAAAAUUAGCGGAUGACUUGUGGCUGGGGGUGAAAGGCCAAUCAAACCGGGAGAUAGCUGGUUCUCCCCGAAAGCUAUUUAGGUAGCGCCUCGUGAAUUCAUCUUCGGGGGUAGAGCACUGUUUCGGCUAGGGGGUCAUCCCGACUUACCAACCCGAUGCAAACUACGAAUACCGAAGAAUGUUAUCACGGGAGACACACGGCGGGUGCUAACGUCCGUCGUGAAGAGGGAAACAACCCAGACCGCCAGCUAAGGUCCCAAAGUCAUGGUUAAGUGGGAAACGAUGUGGGAAGGCACAGACAGCCAGGAUGUUGGCUUAGAAGCAGCCAUCAUUUAAAGAAAGCGUAAUAGCUCACUGGUCGAGUCGGCCUGCGCGGAAGAUGUAACGGGGCUAAACCAUGCACCGAAGCUGCGGCAGCGACACUAUGUGUUGUUGGGUAGGGGAGCGUUCUGUAAGCCUGCGAAGGUGA
rnacentral:rRNA from 1 species